rnacentral:rRNA from 1 species
UGAGGAUUUAAAUGGCCGCGGUAUUUUGACCGUGCAAAGGUAGCAUAAUAAUUAGUUUUUUAAUUGAAAGCUGGUAUGAAUGGUUGGACGAGAAAAUAACUGUCUCAAAUUAAUUUAAUUAGAAUUUUAUUUUUAAGUAAAAAAGCUUAAAUUUUUUUAAAAGACGAGAAGACCCUAUAGAGUUUUAUAUAUUUAUAAUUAAAUAUAAUUUAGUAUAAUUAAGUUUUUAUUUUUAGAUGUAUUUUAUUGGGGUGAUAAAAAAAUUAAUAAAACUUUUUUUUUAUAUUAACAUUAAUUUAUGAAUCAUUGAUCCMUUUUUUAUGAUUAAAAGAUUAAGUUACCUUAGGGAUAACAGCGUAAUUUUUUUUUAGAGUUCUUAUCGAAAAAAGAGAUUGCGACCUCGAUGUUGGAUUAAAAUUAAUAUUUGGUGUAGAAGCUAGAUAAUUGGGUCUGUUCGACCUUUGAAAUUUUACAUGAUCUGAGUUUAAACCGGUGUAAGCCAGGUUGGUUUCUAUCUUUAAAUAAUUAAAAUAUUUUAGUACGAAAGGACCAAAUAUUUAUAAAAUUUAUUGAAUUUUGAAUAAUAUUAA